GAUGAACGCUAGCGGCAGGCCUAACACAUGCAAGUCGAGGGGUAGAAAGGAGCUUGCUCUUUUUGAGACCGGCGGAUGGGUGAGUAGCGCGUAUGCAAUCUGCCCUCUACAGGGGAAUAGCCCAGGGAAACUUGGAUUAAUGCCCCAUGGUAUUAUAAAGCGGCAUUGUUUUAUAAUUAAAGAUUUAUCGGUAGAGGAUGAGCAUGCGUCUCAUUAGCUAGUUGGUGUGGUAACGGCACACCAAGGCAGCGAUGAGUAGGGGCCCUGAGAGGGGGAUCCCCCACACUGGUACUGAGACACGGACCAG
rnacentral:rRNA from 1 species